ensembl:lncRNA
UGCGCGGUUCGAUGAGGUCACGGCAGGCAGGAGGGUAAGGACUCCAAGAACCGCAGCAGCAGCAUCGGGGGCCCAGGACCCGGACCCGGACCGGGAUGCGCCCCGGAAGCCAGCGGCUCCUGGCGGUAGCGAGGAGUGGUUAAGUGCAGCUGAGUUGUUCCUUGGGAGAUAUAUUCAACAACUGCAGUGUUCUUGGUGAUGUUUUAAAAAGAAAUGGGAUGAACAGAGUUCCCAGUGGAGCUGAGGGAGGAGCUGGAUUUGCCCUGGAAUGCUAUCCACCAGGACAAUUCCCAUAAUCUAGAGUGUACCAUACAGGAAGCAUGGCUGAGUCACAGACAUGGCCAUCAGCAAUCUCCAGGACUCAUUCGAAGACUUGGUAUGUACCCAGAAGUAGAAUUGCUAGAUCAUAUGGAAGAGAUACCCCAGGUCCAAGAUAAGAGAAACCCAAGUAAGAUGGUAGGUGUUGCAAGAGGGCAUCAGAGGGCAGACACACUGAAACCAUAAUCACAGAAAACUAGUCAAUCUGAUCACAUGGACCACAGCCUUGUCUAACUCAAUGAAACUAAGCCAGG